GUGAAGACUUUUAAAAUAGAGACCAACGUGGCCGGGCAGGAAGAGCAGGGUCCCGCCUUCAGGUGUUUGGGACUCAGCUGAGGGUGUGGGUGCCCCGCGGUGGGGGCUGAACCUUCCUGGGGUGUGGAGAGACGAAAGGAGCCCAGAUCCAAGUUCCCUCGUUCCCGCUUUGGCAUAAGUUGCCCUGGCGGUCUCAUGAGAGAGAGAAAGAGCUGGGACCCUCCUCGCCCCAGUGAGUGUGAUGUCUUGCUCCGGGUGUCCUGGGGCAACUUUCUAUACAGGCGGGACGUGGGAGGAUCAGACAGUGUAACAUCAGACAAGGGUGUUGACUCUGCAGCACAGAACCAGUAGUUUGUGGAGAAGAAUGGAGGUGUGGUGUUGAAUCUGCUAGACAGGCUACUGAAGCAAAAGUCAAGAGAUCCAGAUUCCAUCAUGGGGACACUUUAGUUCUUCAUCGGGUAAUUGAGCUGAUAUCAGGUGUCUGAAGGAGGCAAGUUUUGAAGAUGUGGGUCAUGAUGGCUGCUGAAGCUUCCACUCCAUAUUUGAAGGUCAGCAGUUCUCAGGAAACCUCUAGCACUUCCAUCCCUGGUGGGAUGUGAUGCCUGUCUCAGUGUAACAUCAGAGAAGGGGUGUACUCUGUGCCCUAGAACUAGGAGCUAACAGAGAAAAACCAAAUGUGAUGUGGAGUCUGCUAGACAGGCUACUGGAGCAAGAGUGAAGCGAUGAAAGUCUCAUCAUUGGGACAUAUUAGUGUGACAUGCAUAAAGGAAUUUCUUAUUGAGCCCCAGGAAGAAGAAACACUACAUAAGAGCAAAUAAUAAAAUCGGUCAGAUAGACAGAAGAUGGGAGUCAUCAAACCUGUAUCCCUCUUGCCAGACCUAUCAACUGACCAUACGUCAUUCAGGAGGCAGCAGGUGGCUGAAAUCCUGGUGUGAUGUGGCUGGAUCAUGCAUGAUCUGAGGACUCCUGCACAGAUGCAGUGGAUCCCCAGGUUGCAAGUCAUAUAACCUGAGCAUGCCCAGAUGAACCAAGUAUGCCUGAUUGGUGAACCUGGAACUGGCCAGAACAGAAAAUGUCAACCACAUGUGGAAUCUAAGUAUUCAGAUUGAGAAAUGAGGACCAAAAUGAGAACACUGAGCUCCUCACACAGGUGACUGAACCCGUGGUUUUGGUGUCUGAGAAGAUGCAGCUUCUCCAGUCUCUGCAACUGACGGCAGGAAGAUGGGAGCACUCAGCUUCAGUGUUCAGAAGCAGAUUUAGGCCAAUUGCCAUACCUUACGUUCUGGAGGGAUCCACCCUGACCUGAGCAGAAGGCAUCACACACAUUCCCAAGCAGCAUGGUUCCCGUGAGAAACUGAAAACUAAUUUCUUGAAUCUACAAUGCGA
rnacentral:lncRNA from 1 species